rnacentral:lncRNA from 1 species
AGUAUUCCGUCUACUUUGUCAACUAAGGUCAGAAACAAUCACAGUAAGCACACAACAAGACAAAAAUAAAAGUGCUCUAAAAGUGAAUUGGACUUUUCAAGGAUACCUUUGGUCAUAUGAAAAAGGACCAAAGUGGUUUCAUUGGGAUUGGAUCAAUGGAGAUUUUUUGGAACAUUUCAAUAUGAAGGAUUCAAGGGAUUUAUGGAUUUGCAAGAAGUAUACAAAAAUAUUAUUUUUAAAAUUGUGCAAAGGAACCCAUUUAACAAGGAAUGAUUUUAGAAGCAUCUAGGAGUUGGUUUCAUUGAUUUGGAGUUCAAAUGAUUUUCCUAUGAAUUUGCAAAGUUGGCGAUAUAUGGAGAAAUGGACCAAUAUUUCAUGUGGCAUAGAAAGUAUUGGGAAAAAUGUUCAAACACAAAGUUUUAAACUUAUAAGUAUGUAGGAAUUUCAAUCAUGGCAUUCGAAUCAAAAGUGGGCCCUAUGUGAUUUUCUAAAGUUUAUCACAGAAAUGGAAAAAUGGGAUUUCAUAAAUAUUUGUGAAGGAAAUGUUUCUGUAAAAAUGAGAAAAUAUCACCAUGUGAUAGAAAUUUGAAUCAUCAAAUUUGGAAUCCAUUUUAAUUCUCCAGAGAUUUUACAAUGUUUCUCCGAAAAGAAAAAGGGAAAAGGUUUAAACAUUAUUUGGCGCUCGGGGCUAGGCUUAGCGCCGGAGCGCACUUGGCCUGGCCCAGCUACAUAGCCGCACAGGAGGGAAGGGGAGACAUCGAAUACGCACUCCUAGAGUAUGCCUUCCCUGAGCGGAAACGGCUUCUCCUGAACCCGCGUACAGUUAAACCCUGGGCCGGUCGUCGGGUCGCUCACGGGCGGGUCCCGCAUGCAGGUCGCCCGCCCUACCAUGCGUCAUCUUCUACCCCGCGAUGCUGGGCAGAGGGGGCCGACCUCGCUCGCUGCAGGCGCUGCUUCGCCUAUCCGUGCCGAGCAGCAAUGGGGAAUGGAGCUGCGGGCUUGGCCGCACCCAUAGGACGGGGCGGAGGGAGGUAGGGCCCCCUCCAUGCGUCCGCGGAGGCCGGCGAGUCCGGUGCUCAGCUGCUGCCCGUGUCGGUGACUCAAGCCGCCUCCGGUGAUGCUCGGCGCACCGGUGUGCUCGAGAGAUGAUGCGUCGCCGCAUGAUCCUAGUCGCGCACCUCGGGGAGAGCCAGAGUGAACGGGGCUUCAACCACAGCGGAGCAGGGCAUCGACCACCUUGGGCUUCGAGCGCAUGGGCGUCCCGGGAAGGAUUGGUGGCGGUGGGCGACUUUGUGGUGGUGAGGUGAAUUUGUUGGAGUGGCUGGGGGAGAUUUAGAGCUCAUAGUAGCUCGAAUUUGAGCGAUGGCCGUCGGCGGGGCUCUGGCCAUGGAUGUGGAUAGAGGGCACGAGGGGGCGAUGAUACGUCUCUAACGUAUCUACAAUUUUUGAUUGCUCCAUGCUAUUAUAUUAUCUGUUUUGGAUGUUUAAUAGGCAUUUAUGUGCUAGUUUAUAUUAUUUUUGGCACUAACCUAUUAACCGAGAGCCCAGCGCCAGUUUCUGUUUUUUGCCUAUUUUAGAGUUUUGCCGAAAAGGAAUAUCAAACUGAGUCCAAACAGAACGAAACUUUCGCGACGAUCUUUCUUGGACCGAAAGGAAACCAGAAGACUUGGAUAUGAAGUCGGAGACGCAACGAGGCGGUCAUGAGGCAGGAGGGUGCGCCCCCCUACCUCGUGGGCCCCUCGUAGCUCCCCUGACCUAGCUCCUUCGCCUAUAUAUACUCUUAUACCCUAAAAACAUCCGCUGCAACCUUCUAUACCCGUGAGAUCCCAUCUAGGGGCCUUUUUCGGCAUCCUGCCGGAGGGGGAUUUGAUCACGGAUGGCUUCUUCAUCAACACCAUUUCCUAUGAUGCGUGAGUAGUUUACCACAGACCUACGGGUCCAUAGCUAGUAGCUAGAUGGCUUCUUCUCUCUCUUUUAUUCUCAAUACCAUGUUCUCCUGGAUGUUCUUGGAGAUCUACUCGAUGUAAUACUCUUUUGAGGCAUGUUUGCCGAGAUCCGAUGAAUUAAGGAUUUAUGAUCAGAUUAUCUAUGAAUAUUAUUUGGUUCUUCUUUGAAUUCUUAUAUGCAUGAUUUGAUAUAUUCGCAAGUCUCUUCGAAUUAUCGGUUUAGUUUGGCCUACUAGAUUGAUCUUACUUGCAGUGGGAGAAGUGCUUUGCUUUGGGUUCAAUCUUGCGGUGUCCUUUCUCAGUGAUAGUAGGGGCAGUAAGGCACAUAUUGUAUUAUUGCCAUCGAGGAUAAAAAGAUGGGGUUUUCAUCAUAUUGCUUGAGUUGAUUCCUCUACAUCAUGUCAUCUUACUUAAUCGUUACUCUGUCCUUCAUGAACUUAAUACUCUAGAUGCAGGCAGGAGUCGGUCGAUGUGUGGAGUAAUAGUAGUAGAUGCAGAAUCGUUUCGGUCUACUUGACACGGACGUGAUGCCUAUGUUCAUGACCAUUGCCUUAGAUAUCGUCAUAACUAUGCGCUUUUCUUUCAAUUGCUCGGCAGUAAUUUUUUCACCCACCAUAAUAUUUGCUAUCUUGAGAGAAGCCACUAGUGAAACCUAUGGCCCCCGGGUCUCUUUUCCAUUAUAUUGAAUAUCUUUUACAUCUUACUAGUUUCCGAUCUACUAUUUUACAAUCUUUUACUUUUUGAUCUAUAAAGCAAAAAUACCAAAAAUAUUUACUUUACCGUUUAUCUAUCUCUCUCAGAUCUCACUUUUGCAUGUGACCGUGAAGGGAUUGAGAACCCCUUUAUCGCGUUGGGUGCAAGUUGUUGAUUGUUUGUGCAGGUAUUCGGUGACUUGUGCGUUGUCUACUACUGGAUUGAUACCUCCGUUCUCAAAACUUAGGGAAAUACUUACGCUACUUUGCUACAUCACCCUUUCCUCUUCAAGGGAAAAACUAACGCAAGCUCAAGAGGUAGAAAGAAGGAUUUCUGGCGUUGUUGCCGGAGAGAUCUACGUCAAGUCAAGCCAUACCAAGUACCCAUCCUAAACUCUUCUCCCUUUCAUUACAUUAUUCGCCAUUCGCCUCUCGUUUUCCUCUCCCCCACUUCUAAAACGAUUUAAGAAAACCUUUGCCUUUUCUUCGCCCCUCUUCCGUUCGUCUCUUUUCGUUUGCUUCCUGUGUGCUCGUGUGUUAGAUCGCUUGAUUCUCCUUCAUGGCUAGUCCUCCUAUCAUUGUCAGUACUCCCGAUAAUGAAGUCCUAAAUUUUACACAAAGGGAGGGAGAAAAUCUAAAAGAUGCUUGGUAUAGAAUUUGCAAUGCUCAAAACAGAUCUUCUAGAAAGCAAUCUACUUUCAUUCUUCUCCACAAUUUUUAUGUCGGCUUGGCAUAGAUAUGUUCUUGACACCAUUACCGGAGGGAAUUUUUUGGGAAGCCAUACGUUUGAUUCUUAUAACGCCAUGAUAGAUUUGUUGGGCCCGCCACCUCUUUUGGUCAAUGGAACUAUUUUAACCUUGGAACAUAUGAUGCAAAGACUUGAUAUUAUUGAGAAUAAAAUUGCUACUAUAGAGUCGAUUGAAAAUUUGGAUAAAAAUAUUCACAAUCAAAUCACUCAAUAUGGAUCUAAGGUAGGAGUUACUCUAAAGAAUCUUAGAGAAAAGGAACUCAUAGUUAAUGAAAAGAUAGAUUAAUAUUCUACCAGAAUUGAUAAACUCGAAGAUAUUAUUACCAACUUGGGUUCCACUUUUUCUGCUGUUAAAAAUACCUCGAAUCUUCCUCCUACUAAAGUUGCCAAGUUUAUUUACGUUCCUAAGAAUAAGGGUGAAUCUUCUAGUAAGGAAAAUGAAGAUCUAAAAUCAAUAAGUGUUCACCCCAAUAUUUUCGAUAUUGUUAAGGAACCUUUUGCCACAAAUGAAUUUCUCAAUUUCUUGCCUAGGAGUUUAAUCAUUGAUAAAACCAAAGAGUCUCCUAAGGAUUAUUUGUGUUCAAUUGAAGAAUGGCAUAACAAAGAUGACAAUACCUAGAUCUAUUCGUGUUUUUAUGCCUAGCUAAGGCGUUAAACGAUAGCGCUUGUUGGGAGACAACCCAAUUUUAUUUUUGUUCAUUGCUUUUUCCUCCUAUCUAGUAAUAAAUAAUUCAUCUAGCCUCUGGUUAUGUGUUUUUAUAUUUUAAUUAGGGUUUGUGCCAAGUAGAACCUUUAGGUUAGCUUACGGUGAUAGGUGUGUUGAUCCUGUUGAAAAUCAGAAACUUUUGCGCUUAGUAAAUUAGUUUUGAAAAUUCACAGAAACAUGAUUUUGAUCUGAUUCUUUUUGCUCCGGAUUGGUAAACAAAUCUGUGACGCCCGGAUAAUUAAGCCAGAGUAAUCCCCCCCUAAUAGUGGCCAUGUCAUCGUGAUUACUAUGCAAAUUGCCAUUUGUUCUAAAGUCCAAGUCAAAUUCAAAUUUGAAUUCCAAGUCAAAUAAUUUUUCUCUAAACGGUAAAACAAAAAUGUUUGUUGGGUUGAAAAUAUUCACUAACUAAUUAUCAUAUAAGAACCAACAUUAUUUGAGUAUCUGAAAUGCCAUUAACCUAUUUGGACUUGGACCAGUAACAUUUAAUUUAUCAAUUACAAUUUAAAUAAAUGGUGAAACUUCUCCAAAUAAAUUGAGACCUUGUGUGUGGCUUCAGAAUCCUACCUAGUAAUUACGUGCUAAGUUGCACCUAUAAAUAAAUUCAUUUAAUAGUACCUCAAAAUAAUGCAAAACAGAGGUGAACUAAAGAAAAGCAGAGAAUAAAGCAAAAACAAAAGGAGCCCAGCUAACUACUAUGCACCGGGCCCUAAUGGCCCCAAGUGCACAGCACGCUCAGCCCAUUCACGCCUGCUCCUACCUCCUGUUCACCUCGCUCCCGUGGACGCCCGUGCGCCGUCCAGCACGCGGAUGUCGCGCUGCCGCCCAUCCCGUGGUUGAACAGUUGGAUAAGAGCCCUCCCUCGACGCCCCUCUCUCUGCCAUGAACCCUAGCUCCCUCCAUUUUCCCCUCUGGCGCCGUUCUCCACCAAAUCGAGCCGCGUCUGAGAGGUCCCAUGGCUGCGCCGUCGACGUUGGCGCGGACACCGGCCUCCCCUCGCCUAUCCAGCAGGUCCAGGAGGCGCGCACCUUCACCCUCUUCGUCUACGGCAAGUCGCGCGAGCAGGGACGCCCUCACGCCGUCGCAAUCGUCGAUCCCCAUCGUCGGCCGUCGCUUCUACCUCGUCGUCGACCCGCCGCUGCCUGCGCUCCCGUUCAUUCGAAGAGCCACCAUGUGCUCCCUGGUGAGCACUCGCGCUGAUUCCCCCUGCUUGCCCCUCGAUUCAUGGCGGUAGCCUCCGUCCCCGACAUCGUCGGAGCUCGCGCGUACGCGUACAUACGUACGUGUGUACUGCUGCUGCCGCUGCGCUGCUUGCUACUGCCGCCGCCCUUGCACUGCUGCUGCGCUGCCGCCAUUGCUCCUUUGCUAAGUUGCUGCUGCUAGCGUUGCUUUGUUGCUGCUUCAUGUUGCUACUCAUGCGCUAUGCCUCGGCCAUGGCCAUGGCCAAGAGAUGUGUGUUGUGUGUGUAGCCCGCUAGUGCUAGUACCAGGCGGGGCUAGCCCAAUUAGUUAGGCUAAUCUCUACUCCUAAUGUCUCAGUUGGUAGGUCGCGUUCCGGGUUUUAUUUUCGUCCCACCUAACCCGGUCUAUUUUGGUACUUCUUUGGUAUUACUUCCCACCUCCCUCCCAACCGCGGAAAACCAAAAAAACCCCUAAGAUGGAGUCCCGCACCCGCACAACCUCCCGUCGUAAUUAACUGAGACGAUCGAAAAUAAACCACCGAGCACAAACCGGCGAAAAUUAACCAGCGAAAAAAAAACCAAAACAAUCGCACGCACGUACAAGCAAGGCCGCCUGCCCUCGAGCGAGAACCACUCGCACGCACGACUCGCUCAGCAAAUCGUGCGCCGCCGCCCUCCAUCCUUCGCCACCGCCGCUCCAUCCCUUCGCCGCCGCCGCUCCAUCCCUUCGCCGCCGACCUCGCACAUCAAAGCCGCCGCCGCUCCAUCCCUUNNNNNNNNNNNNNNNNNNNNNNNNNNNNNNNNNNNNNNNNNNNNNNNNNNNNNNNNNNNNNNNNNNNNNNNNNNNNNNNNNNNNNNNNNNNNNNNNNNNNNNNNNNNNNNNNNNNNNNNNNNNNNNNNNNNNNNNNNNNNNNNNNNNNNNNNNNNNNNNNNNNNNNNNNNNNNNNNNNNNNNNNNNNNNNNNNNNNNNNNNNNNNNNNNNNNNNNNNNNNNNNNNNNNNNNNNNNNNNNNNNNNNNNNNNNNNNNNNNNNNNNNNNNNNNNNNNNNNNNNNNNNNNNNNNNNNNNNNNNNNNNNNNNNNNNNNNNNNNNNNNNNNNNNNNNNNNNNNNNNNNNNCCACCCGCCGACGUUCCAGAUCCGGCCAUCGUUGACCCCCUCCACAUCAGUGAUUGGUCAAGGUAGGGGUGUGUGGCUCUAUCCAUCUUCCCGCGUGUACGACGUCCGUGUAUCCCGGGCAAGGGUGCUUGUGAGAUCGGGAGGCGAUCAAAAGGAGGAAGAGGAGAUCCAUGGUUGGGGAUACAUUCAACGACCUAGGCAUCAUCCUCCCUGACGUCGUACUCGAAGCCCGCAGCCAUUGCCUUCUCAAUCUACGUUAGUCAGCAGCAGCAAGGUCAGACCCCACUAUAUUUUCUUCAGAUCUUGCAUCGCCAUGGUGACUCCACAAAAUUUGUACAUCCAUUGCCGACGUUGGUAUUUAUUCAGCAGAGAAUUAACAACAGUAGACCAAAGCAAAGGGGGGUCAGCCUGAAUGGGACGUAUCCCCUCCAGAAGACUCGCCCUAGCUAACCUGCCUGGUACCUUUCAUUAGCACUUCUCCCAGUAAGUUUGCAAAUUUUGGAUCCACCACUUUUGAAUCAUGCUUGGUGUGUGCUGACGGUGCACGAGGAACGUGACGGUUUUUCUCCGAAUCAUGCCAUAGUUCUCUCAAUAUUGUACGUGUUGUUCUCUCAGCAUUGUACGUCUUGUUCUCUGCAUGAUGUGUGGUCGAUGGGCGGAGGCGACGACUGGCGGCUGUUCUAUUUACACCUGACAUGGUUGAGAGGCUAGGGAGCAGGCGAUUUUGCACUCGUAUUUGGUCGGCAAUGGAGAUGAAUUUGUGAGAGAUGUGGCUGGGAGUUGCACCGGUCAUUUUUCUGCCCUCUCUAUGUUAUCCCUUUGCACUAAUCGGUAAUUGCUUUUUGACCAGGGGAUAGGGUAGCGUACACGAACAGCAAAAUUGUAGAAGACGAGGAGGACAAUCUGAGUGACCAACAUUAUGUGGAGUAUUGAGAUGCAGGUAAGACAUGUGUAAUCUGAAUUGAGACAUAUGGAGGGCAUACAUAGUAUGUAUGUGCAGUUUUUAAUUGUAGGUUGAAUUCUUGUUCUCUAGAUCCAUCUUCACCGACAGCACGCGCUUGUCUGUGACCUCCCACCAGCAACGCCUUGAGGUCACCCACACAAGUGACCAAGCAAUUCCACACUGUCACCCUCUGCUACUUCGCCAACGACAUCGAGGAGGUCGUGGGUGAGAGCUACUGUCCUCCCUGGAGAACAUGCUCGUGCCCCAUGCGUAUGAAGAAGAGCUAAGACACUCGCAUGGGUGCUCAAGGAAAUACACCAGAUUGAGCGAGGUUAGAUUAAAGUUUCUUCAUUCUACACUAGCUUUUCUUGUGCCUUUAGGUAUUUCAGAUAAGUAUCGUAUGCUGCCUACAACAUGUAAGGGAAGCUAAAAAGGAUUACAAAAUAUUUAUGCUUCUUCAUAGUUGUCCAUUUGGUUCUAAACUUUGUUGAGUAGCAGACAUAUUUUACAUUAAUUAAUAAAUAAUGUUGCUGCACACGUGAGUUGGUUUGCAAUGAAGUGGGCAGGUAGACAUGUUUUUGUUGAAUAAAUAUUUUUCAUAAAUACGGGGACAUGAAGAUAAUCUAUUCUUUCUUUACUCCGUUGACAAUGGGACAAUGUUCUUUUUGUGUUUCAGAGUAAAAAAACAGACUCCAAUCUGAAUCUGACGAGUAAAAAAAUAUCGUUGUUUUUCAGAGUGUUACGCAAUUUAUCAACAAGAGCAAAGACUCUAAUCUGAUGAUGUAGGACAGCUUUAAUGUGACAGAGGAUCAUGGUGGUCGAUGGAUUGUGCACCCGGUAGUAGACUAGGAAAGGAACAUUAUUUACGGAACACAAUGAUAUUCAGAGCAGCCCUGCACUAUGUGAGAUUUAGAAGGUAUUCAAAUUAGUGUUUGUUGAUAACUGCAAAUUCCGUGUGUCCGAGUUUGAUAUUUUUCUUUCUAUCCCUGUCAACGUACUAAUCCGUUGUUCUUUGAUGUGCAGUUGGUACUGCCGGCGGAUGCAUCCAUGUGCUAAUCUCCUGGCACCGCGUAGACGGAGCCAAACGAGUUGGGGCCUCCAGCCGGCUGGUAGUGGACAACAACACCGGGUUUGUUAAUUAAUCAACAAGUCACAGAUUGUCCUCUUUUCUGAUUGGUCUGGUGUGGAUUAUCAGGCCUGCCGCGCAAUCAUAGAUUUAUCUUUUGAUUUUUGUGGGUGGACAGAAACACCCUUUCUAAAGUUUUCUAGGGAUUGUAAUGAAGCACAGUAACACACUCCAGCAUUCAUUCUUUGCUUGAUAUUAGCAAGCAAUGUAAAAUAACCAAGCUCACAACAUUCUAAAGCGGUCUAUUAGCUACUUCAGCAGACAACAGACAGAAAGAAGUAAGCAGUAUUUGAUUUGCUCAUACCCGUGGAGGGAUCGAAUUCUGCCCAAAGUUUGUCGCAGCACUUGUGGUCAGCGGCGAGGAUGAGCACCCACACCCGCUCCUUGUUGCUGGCCUCUGCAUCCUCCUCCCUUGAAGCGGGUCUAUGCGGGGAGUUGAUCUAGAAUAUCCUAUUGUUAGAUAUAACAAAUAGGUGACAAGAAAUAAACAAGAACUAUGUAGUACAAUAUAUGUGUCACACAGUAUACUUUGAAAAUGUGUAAUUUGAGAUUCUGAUAUAGAUGUAGGCCUGUAACACACCUUGAACAUGCACUGAAAAUUGUUGUUUACAGUCUCAUUUCUAAACCUGAUGAAAACCCCUAUUUAAAAAAGGAUUUAAUAGUUGUAGUGAUUCUUUUGUCAGAUUGAUAAUAUAUUGCAAAUUAUGCUUGAUGGUUAAUUUCUUGGCAUAAAAGGUGCUUAUUUGAAAUUUGGUUACUACUGAAAUUUUGUCAAGAUACUUGGACUUGUUCAUUGUUCAGUCAGGUUCCAAUCAAGAGUUAACCUGAGACAAUAGAAAGUACUGUCUGUGUAACUAUUGAUGGUUCUGGAAUAAGGAUUAAACCAAAUCAACGAAACAAAUCCUCGAGGAUGCCUUUUUUGGUAGCUAGCGAGGUUAAACUUUUCAAACCGUGCUCAGCCCUGUACUCAUAGGUCCAUUGUUUCAAUAUUUAUGAAGCACCACAUUUCCAAAUACAUUUAUUAAGCACCCUACCAAUGUCAAGUUUUCAGAUCUUGCGUACUUUCUUGUGGUACAUGCCUACAAAUUUUUGUACAGUCUAUAAAAAAACGACGACUGUCCGGUCUGGUCAUAAACGUAGCCUGAUCAUAAAAAAUGAAGUACACAAAAAACUUCAUAAACAUACUUGUCACAAUUUUUUAUUAACCUUGUUUUUACAAUCUUUCAGAUUAUUCAGAAAACGAUUUACACAAUUUUUUAUUUAGAGAAAGAGUUACCACCAUUUUUUUUAGAAACAACUUUCAUGUUCUUCUUUAGAAACAUUUUUUACCACUAUUAUGAAAAUAUGUUCAUAUUAAAGAUUACAGCUGCAAAAAAUAUAACAGCUGCAUGAUGGUUAAUCAAAUCAAGGAUGGUCGAGAACUUGCAGAUGCUACGUAAUUUAUUUUGAAGUUAAGACUCAACUUGGAGCAUUGGAGCAUUUGAGAAAUCUCACCACCAAGUCGACAUCCAGCAAUGGCAUCUAGAGCACAAAGGUCUAAAAUUGAAAAGUACACAAUCUGUUGAAAUGCUCUCACCAUCUCAUGAAAUUGAUGUGCUCGGUGAGGCAGAGGACGAUGGUGUAGUGCUGCCGAAGCUCGGUACUUCCUUCGCUGCACUGUGCUUGCUCUUCUAGGUGUCAUCCAACGUUGCCCUUGCGCGCAUCCGCAUCAGUCUCCAACCUUGUUACAAUUAAUAUAUUAACGCCCAUUGCUUCAAAGGGAUAUAUAUGAAAAGACAACAGAAUAGAAAACCAUAUAAACAUGGUGGAAAUGACUAAACAGAGUUACUAUAUGCACAUCUUUGUAAAGAAGGUAAGAACAAAAGAAAUUUCUUCCUCUACUCCAAGUGUGACACCUCUGAAUCUUUCAGUUGUAGAAGAAGACAGAAUGGAGAUUAGACUAAUCUGCCUUCUCGUUUUGAAGAUCACAACAACAUUUACUACAUCACAACGCACAAGAACCUAACGGUUAAGUCAAACGGAGUUUGGAAAUCAACAAUCAUGAGUUGUGAGAUAACAAAAUAAUCACAUCUGACUUGGUCACUCAAAAGAACUUAUGCAGGUGAGAACCCUUACUGUGCUACUGCUAACGCCAUAAUUUAUUUGAUUCAAGUGGAGAGCUUUUUUAUUCCUCCAAAGCCCAAGAUAUAUAGCAUUUUUCAGAGAAAGGUAACAGCCUCAACAGAUUCUAGAUAAGAAAAGGUGAUGGAAGUGCAUGAAGCUGGAUUUGAGAGUGAGACUGAGAAGAAAAGACUACGGGGUAAUCAAAGUACAAUAGGUGAUUCAAAUAGAAUGUUUAGGAUACAUAUGUUUACAGUUGAUUUUCAGUUCGUAGAAAUAUAAUGUUUGGUACAACUGGACUGAAACAAAACUCAAAAAAAUUGUACCUUCGCUGUGUGAUUUCCCUGUCAAAUACCGAGCAUACUAUCAGUAGGCUGUGUAGCAGGCCAACAGGCAGCAAGCCAGCAACUCAGCCUGGGUUGGCCAGAUCGACGGUGCGGCUCAGCUUGAGGUAGAAAUCUUCAAGUCGCCCUCGGCUCCGGAAAUCGCCCUGGGAUGGCUAGAUCCACGGCGCGGCUCGCCGACGGCCGGAUCCGGCUGCUCACCGCGACACCUGGUCUCACCAUUGCUCACUAGACCCGGCCGAAACAGAUAACUGUGGCGGGGACCGAGGAGUGGAGAGGAUGGGAGGAGGCAGGGACGCGCCAAGGUGGGGAGUUGUGGCGGCUGGGACGGCGUGGCGGAGAGGGUUGGCGGCGGCGACGAUGUGGCGGAGAGAACGAGCAAGAGGGGUGAGAGAGUGUGGUCUUGCAGAGGGGUGCCAUGGGGUGAGAGAGUGAGAGGGUGGCUGCCGUGAGG